AUUGAACGCUAGCGGCAUGCCUUACACAUGCAAGUCGAACGGAGUGGCGAACGGGUGAGUAAUGUAUCGGAACGUGCCCAGUAGCGGGGGAUAACUACGCGAAAGCGUAGCUAAUACCGCAUACUAUUGGAGCGGCCGAUAUCGGAUUAGCUUGUUGGUGGGGUAACGGCUCACCAAGGCGACGAUCCGUAGCUGGUUUGAGAGGACGACCAGCCACACGGGGACUGAGACACGGCCCAGACUCCUCCGGGAGGCAGAAGGGGGGAAUUUUGGACAAUGGGGUAAACCCUGAUCCAACCAUCCCGCGUGUGCGAUGAAGGCCUUCGGGUUGUAAAGCACUUUUGGCAGGAAAGCGGUAACAGAAGAAUAAGCACCGGCUAACUACGUGCCAGCAGCCGCGGUAAUAG
rnacentral:rRNA from 1 species